GAUGAACGCCGGCGGCGUGCUUAACACAUGCAAGUCGAACGGAAAGGCCUCAGCUUGCUGGGGUACUCGAGUGGCGAACGGGUGAGUAACACGUGGGUGAUCUGCCCUGCACUUUGGGAUAGGCUUGGGAAACUGGGUCUAAUACCGAAUAUGACCACUUCUUGGAUGUUGUGGUGGAAAGCUUUUGCGGUGUGGGAUGAGCCUGCGGCCUAUCAGCUUGUUGGUGGGGUAAUGGCCUACCAAGGCGGCGACGGGUAUCCGGCCUGAGAGGGUGUACGGAAACAUUGGGACUGAGAUACGGCCCAGACUCCUACGGGAGGCAGCAGUGGGGAAUAUUGCACAAUGGGCGCAAGCCUGAUGCAGCGACGCCGCGUGGGGGAUGAAGGCCUUCGGGUUGUAAACUCCUUUCGCUAUCGACGAAGCCACUUGUGGUGACGGUAGGUAGGUAGAUAAGAAGCACCGGCUAACUACGUGCCAGCCGCCGCCGUAA
rnacentral:rRNA from 1 species